rnacentral:misc_RNA from 1 species
AAAGUCGUAACAAGGUUUCCGUAGGUGAACCUGCGGAAGGAUCAUUAAAAAGUGAGGCCCGUUUGAAGGGCAGCUAGGAAGCCGUUAUUAGCUGUCUAGCUGCCAGUCGUCGUGGCUCACCUGACUUGUUCAGGUACCCUUGCUUCGUUUUUUGAGUACCAUUUUGUUUCCUCGGCAGGCUUGCUUGCCAGUGAGGACCCCAAACCAAACUCUUGCAGUAGCAGUAUCAGUCUGAGAACUAAACAUAAAUAAUUAAAACUUUCAACAACGGAUCUCUUGGUUCUG